rnacentral:rRNA from 1 species
GAUGAACGCUGGCGGCGUGCCUAAUACAUGCAAGUCGAGCGAACAGACGAGGAGUUUGCUCCUCUGACGUUAGCGGCGGACGGGUGAGUAACACGUGGAUAACCUACCUAUAAGACUGGGAUAACUUCGGGAAACCGGAGCUAAUACCGGAUAAUAUAUUGAACCGCAUGGUUCAAUAGUGAAAGACGGUUUUGCUGUCACUUAUAGAUGGAUCCGCGCCGCAUUAGCUAGUUGGUAAGGUAACGGCUUACCAAGGCAACGAUGCGUAGCCGACCUGAGAGGGGGAUCGGCCACACAGGAGCUGAGAGACGGUCCAGAGACCGAGGGGAGGCAGCAGUAGGGAAGCGUGCGCAAAGGGCGGAAGCCUGACGAAGGAGCGCAGCGUGAAUGAUGAAGGUCUUCGGAUCGUAAAACGCUGUUAUUAGGGAAGAACAAAUGUGUAAGUAACUAUGCGCGUCUGGAGGGUACCGAAACAGAAAGACACGGCAAAUUAGGG